rnacentral:rRNA from 1 species
AACGAACGCUGGCGGCAGGCCUAACACAUGCAAGUCGAGCGCCCGCCAGGGAGCGGCGGACGGGUGAGUAACGCGUGGGAAAGCGCCCCUUGCUACUCAAUAGCCUCGGGAAACUGAGAGUAAUACCGCAUGUGACCCUUGGGGGCAAAAUUUAUCGGCAAAGGAUCGGCCCGCGCGAGAUUAGGUAGUUGGUGGGGUAAUGGCCCACCAAGGCGACGAUCAAUAGCUGGUUUGAGAGGAUGAUCAGCCACACUGGGACUGAGACACGGCCCAGACUCCUACGGGAGGCAGCAGUGGGGAAUCUUAGACAAUGGGCGCAAGCCUGAUCUAGCCAUGCCGCGUGAGCGAUGAAGGCCUUAGGGUUGUAAAGCUCUUUCGUGGGGGAAGAUAAUGACGGUACCCCAAGAAGAAGCCCCGGCUAACUCCGUGCCAGCCGCCGCCGUAAAAC